CUCUAUCAGUUAGUUUUACUUGCUGUGCAACGACAGUGAGAUCAAAUUGGUAUUUGUGAGUUCAAAUUAGGAUUCGGCAUCUAUCGGUUUCUCUUUGUUUUGAGAACAUAGUCACACCCAAGUGCCACAGUAGGUCUUAUCCAGGGGUCGCCAGGGAAACCACAGACCUGUCGCUGGCCAGUUGGUCUCUCACUGACAGGAAUACCUGCCCUUUGGACCGUUUGAGAAUAGACCGCUAAAAACGGAGACUGUUUUCUUACACUUGCCAACCAGGAAGCUGCUACAGGAUGCUGUGAAGGCCGUCUUCCAACACUACCUAUAAUAUAGACAGUAAACUGGGGAGGUAGAUACCUAGCGGCUAGAGCAUUUGACCGAUAACCAACCGGUUGCUUGAUUCCAUCCCAAAGCUGGGACUGCCAGGAUGUGUCACGGUUUAGUGGGUGGCAGAAGUAAGCGCAGGCAGGGUUGUGGUUCAAAAGGCCAAUUUAUUGAGCCAACUGUCAAAAACCAAAAAAGGAGCAGCACACAAAAAUACAGCGUACUAUGGACAAACAAUAACCAACAACACAAGGAAAACAAGAGCACCCUAAAAUAGUGUCCCCAAUCAGAGGCAACGCAUGCCAGCUGCCUCCGAUUGGGGACACCUGACACUGAACAAAGACAUGCCUAGAGGCAUCUAUUCCCUGGCCAGGGAAUAUGGCCUUAAGCCCAGUGCAGAGAUGGCUAGGGGCAUCUUCAUAGCCAGAACCUGACAGGAAGACGAUUUGCUGCCCCAUGUAUUUUUUUAAGAACAGAAACACUAGAAAUAGUACUUCAUUGGUGCUCUAAUACAAAUUUUUAUCAUACAAUCAACAACACUAUCCAGGCCGGUUCUAGGCAUAAGCAACCUAAGAGGUCACUUAGGGCCCCUGACCGCUAGGGGGCCCCAACUGCUAAUGAGCCCCCUGACCGCUAGGGGACGGGGGCCCCAAAAGGCUAGAGCUGGCAUUGACACUAUCAAAUGGAGUCAGUUUAGCAUGUGAUUAUACAUUUCAUAAAUUAAGGGCAAUGGAAGAGUUUUAAGUAAACUUCACAUUUAUUUUAAGAAAAUGUUUUUUUAGAAUGUGAUAGUAACUUUGACAAAAAAUAUACUAUUACAGUGCCUAUAUUACAUUACUUCUUUAUCUCUAUAUUAUUAAUUGAUGGGGAAGGAGCACUUUUUUAAUUCGUUUUUAAAGAAAUGUGUGUAUCCUAGCAGACUGCCUAUCCCCACAGUUACAACCCCUCCCUCCCUUCUUUACAGUGAAUGUGCUGUUUUUAUGUUAUUUUUUAUUUUUGAUUGAAGUUUGAGUAUAACAUAUCCCUGAAACAGCUGUCUGUGUCCACUACAGUAUUAUCCCUCACGGUCAGUGGGGGUCAAUUCCAUUGUCAGCUCAGGGCAUGAACCAGGAUUUUGAAUAUUCCAAUUGGAAAUGAAUGGUGCUGUAUCGAUUCUGGAAUGGGAUUUUCUCAAAUUACUUUCUAGAACAAACUAGAAGUAAUUGUACUGGAAUUGACCCCAGCCCUGCUGCCGUGUCCAAGCAGUUGGCCACUUCAGAUUGUCACGGUUCCUACAGUGAGCUGACUGUGUGUGAAUGUUCAUCCCACCAGCUUUAUUUUAAGGAGAUUUAUACAUGAUGGAACACUUGUAAUAAAUACCUCAAAUUAAAUGGAUGUUUUGUGC
ensembl:lncRNA